rnacentral:rRNA from 1 species
UACGUAGGGAGCGAGCGUUGUCCGGAAUUACUGGGUGUAAAGGGAGCGUAGGCGGGACGGCAAGUCAGAAGUGAAAUAUACGUGCUCAACAUGUAGACUGCUUUUGAAACUGUCGUUCUUGAGUGAGGUAGAGGUAAGCGGAAUUCCUGGUGUAGCGGUGAAAUGCGUAGAGAUCAGGAGGAACAUCGGUGGCGAAGGCGGCUUACUGGGCCUUUACUGACGCUGAGGCUCGAAAGCGUGGGGAGCAAACAGG